CGGGGAGGAACCUCGCGCUCUGCCAAAGGAGUCCUGUCACACGCCACGUGCUGCUGUUCGCGGGGGACAAGGGCGCCCGCAGUCACCCGCUUACCCGAAUAGCGUAAUGCAUGGAUGAUAAAUAACGGCGGGGUAUAAUCGCGUCGACGCAAAACAGACGACACAGGGGGAAGGUCCUGUGUAGGAGAACCAGGCUGUGCCACCUACCAAGAUGUGAUCACCCCAGGCCUUGUGAAUCAUCGCCUUCGGAUUGCCGGCACUCCCUUGGUUUACCGUUGCCAGUUCACCAACCCCUCUUCAGAUCGGUGGGCGUACGCUUGGCAUUAGCUAACGGCGGGCACAUUUUCCAGAACACCCGUCUUGUGUGCCAUCUAUCAUUACGUGCCAUGAGGUCUCGUCUGGUACGCUUCAGACGUGACAUGCCAUGGAGAAGGAAUGCCUCGCCUCUGCCUGACAAGCAAACUCCUGCUCAGUCAUUCUGCAUUAACUUCUAGGGGCAUUUUCUGCUUGUAGGUUUGUCUUUUUCUCAUCCUGACACAUGUUAUCACACAGUCGGACUUACGUAAGUGUGCUGCCGGGCCAGGAUGGGUUGGAGCGCAGGUUGGCCCUCUCCCCAUCGACCCCUAGGACUUGCUGACAUCACACGCCACAACUAGUGCAUCAAAUACCUUAUAUGAUACACAUAGUGCUGUGGAUCCUUAGUGUAAAGCAUAUUCUGCUAUUAGUAGUGUUGUCUUUUUCCUCCAACUGCAGUGUUUUGGGGUGUGAGCCUUCUACCCACAUGACCGUCCUCCUAAGAAAGAUGGACUUGACGCAAGUAGCUUUACAGGUUCUCUGGUUCCCUUGAUAUUAUCGGUUCACCUCCUGCAAAAAAAAAAAAAAAAAGUACGGCCUCACAUGCCUUUUGGCAGCAAUAAUCUAAUUGCUGCUGUAUUUAAAUCCUCUGCGCAAUGAGUAAAACUGGCCAGUGGGUCAGGUUUCAUUAGGAAGCCCCCACCCCACGGACGACCCCACCCCACGGCGAAUCAGAAACGGCCAGUCGCAUCGCAGCUGCAGGACUCGCCGUGCGAAGCAUGUGCCGGAUCAGCGGCGCUCAUGCAGCACCAGUGUAAGGUUAGGGAGCAGUACUCAACAUGCGAUAUUUAGAGAGAGACCGUUUCCUUUAUGUCAACACUGUAUCAAAUGUCCAUCAAAAUACAAUAAAGUGAAAUUUCCGUGAAACGACAUUCCAAUGGACAUUUAUGCAGGGGUGUGAAAUUUUAGGGUAAGUCCAGUAAAUCCAGGUGCUAAAUAAAACAUUACACCUAA